UACGUAGGGAGCAAGCGUUGUCCGGAAUCAUUGGGCGUAAAGAGCUCGUAGGCGGUUUGUCGCGUCUGCUGUGAAAACUCGGGGCUUAACCCCGGGCCUGCAGUGGGUACGGGCAGACUAGAGUGCGGUAGGGGAGACUGGAAUUCCUGGUGUAGCGGUGAAAUGCGCAGAUAUCAGGAGGAACACCGGUGGCGAAGGCGGGUCUCUGGGCCAAGAUAUCCGACGCUGAGACGCAAGCGUGGGGAAGCAAACAGG
rnacentral:rRNA from 1 species